rnacentral:misc_RNA from 1 species
CCGAACGGCCCCAUUGGGCCUUCAACCCCAAAAAACUGUGGAAGCAAAUCGUGCUUCGGCGCCUCUGGCGUCGUAUUUAUGCAAUCGACUGUCUGUGUCUGAAUUAAAUCUAGAAUUA